rnacentral:rRNA from 1 species
UAAUACGUAGGAGACAAGCGUUGUCCGGAAUUACUGGGUGUAAAGCGCGUGUAGGUGGUAGGCCAAGUCUGCUGUGAAAUCGCCCGGCUUAACUGGGCGCGGUCGGUGGAAACUGGUCAACUGGAGGACGGUAGAGGCGAGUGGAAUUCCCGGUGUAGUGGUGAAAUGCGUAGAGAUCGGGAGGAACACCAGUGGCGAAGGCGGCUCGCUGGGCCGGUCCUGACACUGAGACGCGAAGGCGUGGGGAGCGAACGGGAUUAGAUACCCCGGUAGUCCACGCAGUAAACGAUGCCAACUAGGUGUCGGGGGUAUCGAGCCCCUCGGUGCCGUAGCUAACGCUAUAAGUUGGCCACCUGGGGAGUACGGCCGCAAGGUUA